rnacentral:sRNA from 1 species
CGAGAGAGAGAGAGAGAGAGAGAGAGAGAGAGAGAGUUCACGUCCCAUUGAAUUUGAAAGCUACUUUAGUUAUUGUUCUUGUUUUGUGUAUGUGU